CCGGCCUUGUAGGCUUGUUAAGAACAGCGAGUGUGCAUUAUACUUCUUUCAUGAGCUGUGCAGCUCCCAGCACAGUGUUCCCUCUAUAUCCAUGGAAUCAAUGUCUCAUUCUGUCCUGCUUUCCCGCUUCUUGUCCACAAUUUCUCCUCAGAGACACUGCUCUAACCACAUCCUUCCUCUAGGCUUUUAUUUGUCCUUCACAUGUUCAAAUCACAUCCAUCUUGUGAGGCUACCUUCACUUUUUUUUUUUUGAGACAGGGUCUCGCUGUG
rnacentral:lncRNA from 1 species